rnacentral:rRNA from 1 species
UACCAGCACCCCGAGUGGUCGGGACGUUUAUUGGGCCUAAAGCAUCCGUAGCCGGUUCUGCAAGUCUUCCGUUAAAUCCACCUGCUUAACAGAUGGGCCGCGGAAGAUACUACAGAGCUAGGAGGCGGGAGAGGCAAGCGGUACUCGAUGGGUAGGGGUAAAAUCCGUUGAUCCAUUGAAGACCACCAGUGGCGAAGGCGGCUUGCCAGAGCGCUCGACGGUGAGGGAUGAAAGCUGGGGGAGCAAACCGG